rnacentral:rRNA from 1 species
GAUGAACGCUGGCGGCGUGCCUAAUACAUGCAAGUCGAGCGAACAGACGAGGAGCUUGCUCCUCUUACGUUAGCGGCGGACGGGUGAGUAACACGUGGAUAACCUACCUAUAAGACUGGGAUAACUUCGGGAAACCGGAGCUAAUACCGGAUAAUAUAUUGAACCGCAUGGUUCAAUAGUGAAAGACGGUUUUGCUGUCACUUAUAGAUGGAUCCGCGCCGCAUUAGCUAUUUGGUAAGGUAACGGCUUACCAAGGCGACGAUGCGUAGCCGACCUGAGAGGGUGAUCGGCCACACUGGAACUGAGACACGGUCCAGACUCCUAGGGGAGGAACAAGAAGGGAAUCUUCCGCAAUGGGCGAAAGCCUGACGGAGCAACGCCGGGUGAGUGAUGAAGGUCUUCGGAUCGUAAAACUCUGUUAUUAGGGAAGAACAAAUGUGGAAGUAACUAUGCACGUCUUGACGGUACCUAAUCAGAAAGCCACGGCUAACUACGUG